UACAACUUUCAGCAACGGAUCUCUUGGCUCUCGCAUCGAUGAAGAACGCAGCGAAAUGCGAUAAGUAAUGUGAAUUGCAGAAUUCAGUGAAUCAUCGAAUCUUUGAACGCACCUUGCGCUCCUUGGUAUUCCGAGGAGCAUGCCUGUUUGAGUGUCAUGGA
rnacentral:rRNA from 3 species